GAAAAUAAACUGUGGACCUGACUGCAGAAAAUAUCUUAAUAUGGGCUUUUGCUGUUCUAAGAAGUGUUUUUUGCAGCUGAAACAAAGCAUAAGGAAGAUACCUGUUUCAAGGAGGCUAAGAAGCAAUUUGUCAUGUUUGCUUGGAGCUCUGAAUCAGCAAAAACCUCGGCAUGCCUGCUGUCCAGUGGUUUGUUUCAUACGUGAUAUUACUCUGAAAUAACACACCAUGGUACAAGUUUAAGAAGGAUUGCUAAUGAGACCAAGAAACUAGGAAGAGGAAAAGAAGAUGAAGUAUUGAGUUUAUCUUAAAUCAGAAAGCAGAUUUGAGAUGUUGCUGAUGCCUAUCCCCUCCUGAAUACUUCUGUUGAAUUUCUUCAACAGUGUUUCCCUUUGUCAUACAUCUUGAUCAUAUGUAGGGGUUGAGGGGGAAAAGUUUGAGUGUACCCAGCAAAAUACAUGUGGAUAUGAUUUUUGUCUGUCCUGUGGCAUCUAGGAGAAGUAAUCUGCCCUUUUGCUUCUAACUCUGUGGAAGACUGUGUGAAAGAAAAGUUCAGAGAGAGGAUGAGUUUGAUUGCUCCUGGAGGACAUAAACUCCUUACUCAUCCUGGAAACACCUCAUGCAUUGCACUGACUGGGGGUGAAACUGUGCCCAUCCAGCAGCUUUGAGGAGUCUGGCUCUUUGCAUGGUGCUCUCUGUAACAGGAUCUGGUCCUUGUGGCAGGCCAGCACCCACCCCAGCUGAGGGCUGGCACCCUGAGCCACUCUGGGAUGGUCCUUGGGGUGAGCUGAGCCUCAGGAGGGGCACAGAGAGCCUCUGUGCACACCCCAGGGAGCCCUGGCAUGAGAGUUAUCUGUCAGCAGUGCUGGCAACACCUCCCGAGAGAAGGAAAAGACCUUCAGGACUGGGGAGAGGAGUUGGAGAUGAAAAUACUUCAGAG